rnacentral:rRNA from 1 species
AUCCGGGUUGCGGACAGUGUCUGGUGGGUAGUUUGACUGGGGCGGUCUCCUCCUAAAGAGUAACGGAGGAGCACGAAGGUUAGCUAAUCCUGGUCGGACAUCAGGAGGUUAGUGCAAAGGCAUAAGCUAGCUUGACUGCGAGAGUGACGGCUCGAGCAGGUGCGAAAGCAGGUCUUAGUGAUCCGGUGGUUCUGAAUGGAAGGGCCAUCGCUCAACGGAUAAAAGGUACUCCGGGGAUAACAGGCUGAUACCGCCCAAGAGUUCAUAUCGACGGCGGUGUUUGGCACCUCGAUGUCGGCUCAUCACAUCCUGGGGCUGAAGUAGGUCCCAAGGGUAUGGCUGUUCGCCAUUUAAAGUGGUACGCGAGCUGGGUUUAGAACGUCGUGAGACAGUUCGGUCCCUAUCUGCCGUGGGCGCUGGAGAAUUGAGGGGGGCUGCUCCUAGUACGAGAGGACCGGAGUGGACGCAUCACUGGUGUUCGGGUUGUCAUGCCAAUGGCAUUGCCCGGUAGCUAAAUGCGGAAGAGAUAAGUGCUGAAAGCAUCUAAGCACGAAACUUGCCCCGAGAUGAGUUCUCCCUGA